AUACGAGGGGUGCAAGCGUUGUUCGGAAUUACUGGGCGUAAAGGGAGCGUAGGCGGAGAUUCAAGCGGAUUGUACAAUCCCGGGGCCCAACCCCGGCUCUGCAGUCCGAACUGGAUCUCUUGGAUAGUUCCGGGGCAGGCGGAAUUCCUGGUGUAGCGGUGGAAUGCGUAGAGAUCAGGAAGAACACCGAUGGCGAAGGCAGCCUGCUGGGGACUUAUCGACGCUGAGGCUCGAAAGUGCGGGUAGCAAACAGGAUUAGAUACCCUGGUAGUCCGCACCGUAAACGAUGCAUACUGGGUGUCCGGGGGUUCCCCCGGGUACCGUAGCCAACGCGUUAAGUAUGCCGCCUGGGGAGUACGUACGCAAGUAUGAAACUCAAAUGAAUUGACGGGG
rnacentral:rRNA from 1 species